UACGUAGGGGGCAAGCGUUGUCCGGAAUCAUUGGGCGUAAAGCGCGUGUAGGCGGUUCGGUAAGUCGGCUGUGAAAGUCCAGGGCUCAACCCUUGAAUGCCGGCCGAUACUGUCAGGCUAGAGUCCGGAAGAGGCGAGUGGAAUUCCUGGUGUAGCGGUGAAAUGCGCAGAUAUCAGGAGGAACACCGAUGGCGAAGGCAGCUCGCUGGGACGGUACUGACGCUGAGACGCGAAAGCGUGGGGAGCGAACAGG
rnacentral:rRNA from 1 species